CCUGGUGGCUCAGAUGGUAAAGCAUCUGCCUGCAAUGCAGGAGACCAGGGUUCCAUCCCCAGGUCAGGA
rnacentral:tRNA from 1 species